GACGAACGCUGGCGGCGUGCUUAACACAUGCAAGUCGAACGGAAAGGCCCUGCUUGCAGGGUACUCGAGUGGCGAACGGGUGAGUAACACGUGGGUGAUCUGCCCUGCACUUCGGGAUAGCUUGGGAAACUGGGUCUAAUACCGGAUAGGAGCCAUCUUUAGUGUGGUGGUUGGAAAGUUUUUUCGGUGUAGGAUGAGCUCGCGGCCUAUCAGCUUGUUGGUGGGGUAAUGGCCUACCAAGGCGGCGACGGGUAGCCGGCCUGAGAGGGUGUACGGCCACAUUGGGACUGAGAUACGGCCCAGACUCCUACGGGAGGCAGCAGUGGGGAAUAUUGCACAAUGGGCGCAAGCCUGAUGCAGCGACGCCGCGUGGGGGAUGAAGGCCUUCGGGUUGUAAACUCCUUUCGCUAGGGACGAAGCUUUUUUGUGACGGUACCUAGAUAAGAAGCACCGGCUAACUACGUG
rnacentral:rRNA from 1 species